GUGGGGAAUAUUGGACAAUGGGCGAAAGCCUGAUCCAGCCAUGCCGCGUGUGAAGAAGGUCUUCGGAUUGUAAAGCACUUUAAGUUGGGAGGAAGGGCAGUAAGUUAAUACCUUGCUGUUUUGACGUUACCGACAGAAUAAGCACCGGCUAACUUCGUGCCAGCAGCCGCGGUAAUACGAAGGGUGCAAGCGUUAAUCGGAAUUACUGGGCGUAAAGCGCGCGUAGGUGGUUUUGUAAGUUGGAGGUGAAAUCCCCGGGCUCAACCUGGGAACUGCCUCCAAAACUGCAUGACUAGAGUACGGUAGAGGGUAGGGGAAUUUCCUGUGUAGCGGUGAAAUGCGUAGAUAUAGGAAGGAAAACCAGUGGCGAAGGCGACUACCUGGACUGAUACUGACACUGAGGUGCGAAAGCGUGGGGAGCAAACAGGAUUAGAUACCCCGGUAGUCC
rnacentral:rRNA from 1 species